AGCGGAUAACAACGGAGUGGGGCUAUCGAAUUGAUAUGUAUUCGAAUCUUAGGAGCUGGUAAUCACUGAUAUGCUCGUAUUGGUGACGUUAUUGUUGCUGUAAUCAAAGAAGCAGUGCCCAAAAUGCCUCUAGAAAGAUCAGAAGUAAGACGAGCUGUAAUUGUACGUACAUGUAAAUAA
rnacentral:rRNA from 1 species